rnacentral:pre_miRNA from 1 species
UCUUAUGGAUAAGCAAGAAAAAAGUGGUUUGUUGAAAUGGAAUCUACCCCUGGUGAAGAUGCUGUGAA